CCUACACGAGGGACGAGUGCCUCAGAUCACGAUCCCGAACUUGGCCUCCAGGCUCCAGCGGUCGCCGGCGCCGCCCGCACGCGGACGGCCGUACCGCGCCGGCCCCUCGCGGUCUCACCUCCUCCACCUCCAGUCCCCCCUGUCUGCCUACCCUCGCCGGCAGGUUGCCCGUCGCAGCUCGGUCCCGCGGCCGCGCCACCAGAGACAGCACGCGAGCGCCGGAGCAGCCUGGAAGGACCUGGAACUCCGAAACUUUUCUGCUAUACCAUUGCCACUGAAAGCCAUGCCCAUGUUGCGUCGAGUGCGGCCUCACACGUCUGGCGGUGAGGACCGCCUUAGUGCGCUCCAUGACGAUCUGAUCCUCCUCAUAGUAAGCAGGCUGGACACCCGAACAGCCCUCUCCAUGGCCAUCCUUGCCAGGCGUUGGGUUCGCAUCCCGCACAAGCUGUCCGCACUCGACUUCAGGGUGAGCGACAUACUCCCGCCGAGUACGAACGGACCGUUGCCCUUCGCCAACUCAACUUGCCGCGUGACGCCACUUUGGCCGGGACACUCGACGGUCUCAAGGCGCGAUGUGAGAUCGACACAAUAAGGUCAUUCGCAAACGGAAUCACGAGCUUUUUGGAAGCAGACAGUGGCCAUGACCGGCAUGUAAAGACCCUCCGUCUCGAGUUUUUUCAGACAUACAAUAGCAUUUGUGUGGACCGCCUUAUCAAUGUUGCAGUCGGUGCAUGGGGGGUGGAAGAUCUGGAGGUUGUCGUCA